ensembl:lncRNA
ACUAAGCCCUUAGAUGUUAGCCCGUUCUCUCUUCAUUCAUUAGGGAAAAAGGAUUAAACACCUGCAUUAAAUGACUCAGCAUCUGUAAAGUACAAGGACAGUACCUGAUGCAUAGCAAGAACUCAGUAAAUGUAGCUGCAAUUAUCAUCAUUUGGAUGAUGGUUUCCGUUUCACUGAAUUGUUCUUGCUCUGCCGUACCCAGCAGACUUUGGACACUUAGUCAAUAUUAAUUCAUGAUGUUGGUGUUCGGUGUGCCAGCUCUUUGACACGAAGAAUUUUUGUGCCAACAAAGCAAGGAUUCUAGAAGCAAGAAUACUGGAGUGGGUUGCUAUGCCCUCCUUCAGGGGAUCGUCCUGACCUAGAGAUCGAACCAUGUCUCUUAUGUCUCCUGCAUUGGCAGGUGGGUUCUUUACCACUCACGCCUCCUGGGAAGCCCCAGCAAGACCAGUCUCUCCCUCAGCUGGGACCCGAAUACAACCUGCAGCAAAGAGUAAAGCAGAAUCACCAGGUUUUACUAUCAUGCUGCAUUAAGCAUCCUGGGGCUUCAUCUGUUCUUACGGGUUUUGAAGAAAACCUUCCCAGCAACAUAAAAGGAUGGCAUGGAUGUGGUUCCAUAAAAGAGGCUUCUGAAUUGAAGACGACAAUCUUCUUGAUGGGAGCGGCAUUGUACAAAGCAUCUUAGCGUCUCUUGCAGUGAUCAAAUAUUAAUAGCAACCAUAAUAGGAGGAACAGCCAACACUUA